rnacentral:lncRNA from 1 species
GACCCCGGCCUCAUUGUCGGUGGAUCCGGCCGCCCGGAGGCGAGGGGAGACCGGCUAUCACCCUCUCUACUCUUCUCCUUCUACGUCCGGCACCGCUACAACGACGGCCGCGCGGAUCGCGUGAGGCAACGGAUCGGCGGAGGCCUGCAACAACAACGGCCGCGCGGGCGAGCAAUCGAGGAGGCCGGGAAUCACCAGAUCCGGAAGGACGGCGGCCCGAUUCGGAGAGGGAGCAACCCGAUCUGUGUCAUUGAGGCUCAUUGUAAGUGUCGACGGCGGCCGUUCCUUCACAGUGAUCCAGGGUCGUUGGGUCUGUUGAGCUCGGUAUCGACGGCAGCAGUAGCUCGGGCAAGAUGGAAGAAACGUGUUAGACACGGCCUCCUCCGAGAGCAUACACCAGCGACGUGCAGGAGGCCGAGGCCAAAGCCGAUCUUCCCCAACCCCAUCUGGCAUUAUAACUUCGAGAAGGUCAGCCUGAUGGUGCAGAACUCUGGCUUGAGGAAGACAUGCUUCAGUGUUUCUCCAUGCACCGACAACACUAUCAUCCUGCCACCACAACACACAAAUCUGGCGAUGCUUCCACCUGCAUCUGCAUGCCCUGGCUCCCUGCAUACAAGUAUAGUCCAGCCGCUCUACAAGAUUAUGAGUGAGCAAACAUGGAUGGUGAUGAUGGAGCUGAGUUCUUCAGUAAUAGAUGUGUUCAUGGCCUUCAGGAUUUUAUGGCAGGAAAGCUCCCAUAAGCUUCUUGGGAGGUUAGACUGCAGCAGUAAUGAAAGGUGCUGAUGAUGGAUCAUUUAGGAUAUUGUGUGCUUUGCCAGCGUUUCAGGUCCGGAUGCGGCAUCCACGUGGGCAGGCCGUUACCAUGAAGAUCAUGCCAUCGGAUUAGUUGUCCAUGUGCAUAGAUCAAAGAAAAAAAGAAGGUACAGAUGGCAAGUAUAUACUGAAGAUCUAUAUCUGUGGUCUACUACAGCUCAACUGUUGUAAACAAUACCUGUGAUGCAUCGUUCUUCCAAAGUUUCAUAGAUGGCCUUUGCAUUAAAUAGUAUAUCCAUAUCUUUUUUUAGUGAAUAGUACUUGCAAUUUUGAGUGUGUGCUUUCCAUCUCAUAAGGUUUCCAUGUUUCAUAAUGUCC